rnacentral:SRP_RNA from 1 species
GCCGGGCAUGGUGGCGCAUGCCUGUAAUCCCAGCUACUCAGGAGGCUGAGGCAGGAGAAUCGCUUGAACCCGGGAGGCAGAGGUUGCAGUGAUCCGAGAUCACGCCACUGCACUCCAGCCUGGGCAAUAGAGCGAGACUCCAUCUCAA